GGAAGAGCGAAUGAACUGAGUUUUUAUUUACUUUCAGUUUAUAUAAAUACAAAUUUAAAUAACCACAUAUGGUUAGUGGCUACCAUAUUGGAUAGCCCAAGUUCAUAUGGCUAGCCAAGAUCAGAAGUAAGGAUCCAAUCCCAGAAAUUAUCUGGCUCCAAAAUCAUGCUUUAAAUAUUAAAAUACUAGGAUAGGCAUGGCAACUCACACCUUUAAUCCCAGCAGUUUGACAGCCUGAGGUGGGAGGAUGGCUUGAGCUAAGGAGUUUGAGACCAGCCUGGACAACAAAGUGAGACUCUGCCUCUUCAAAAAAACUUAAAAAAAAAAAAAAAAAAAAAGAGCCAGGUCUGGUGGUACACACCUGUAUUCCCAGCUACAGUGCAGGCUGAAGGAGGAGGCUCAUGUGAACCUGGGAAGUUGAGGUUGCAGUGAGUCAUAAUAGCACCACCACACUCCAGCUUGAGUGACAGAGCAAGCCCUUAUGUCAAAAAAAAAAAAAAAAAAAAAAGGGUAGUACUAGUUGUGAUGGUGUACCCUAAAGAAUGUUAUCAUGUUUGCAUCAUUAGAGCUUCCCAGUUAGAGUGCUUACAACUCCUUUCUUGUCUAUAAGCCUAGAAGAGCAUAAUGCGUGUCCCCUAGCAAUCUACCACUGAAACUACUAUUUGUGUAGGCAGUGCUGUCUACUAUGGACAUUUUAGUAUUAGAACUCCCUGGUGAUGCCCAGUAAGCUAACCAAAUGUGGAGGGAAGAAGCAAAGCUGGUAGAAAACGAUUGGUGCUGGAUAUUUUUGAUUUGUCCCUCCAGAUUCACUCUCCAUUUUUAUCUACUCUGUUCUGGUCUCAGGGAGCUGAUACUCUAUGGACCACUUCCUUACCCCCUGGCUUCUGGUUGGAUCCAGCCAGUGAAAGACUCUGGUGGGAACUGGAAAGAUGUUUUGAAAAUCACUACUAAAUCUACCUUGGGCUGA
rnacentral:lncRNA from 1 species